rnacentral:rRNA from 1 species
UUCCAAUCGAACCCGGAGAUAGCUGGUUCUCCUCGAAAUAGCUUUAGGGCUAGCCCAUGACAAGUCUGCCGCAGGUAGAGCACUGAAUUUCCUAGGGGGCGUCAAAGCCUACCGAAGAAUAUCAAACUCCGAAUGCCGUGUAGAUAUCACCGGGAGUCAGACUGCACGAGAUAAGUUGGGCGGUCAAAAGGGAAAGAGCCCAGACCUACAGUUAAGGUCCCAAAGUGCGCGUUAAGUGGAAAAGGAUGUGGGAUUUCGAAGACAACCAGGAUGUUGGCUCAGAAGCAGCCAUACAUUCAAAGAGUGCGUAAUAGCUCACUGGUCGAGAGGUCCUGCGCCGAAAAUGUCCGGGGCUGAAACGCGCCACCGAAACUAAGGAAUCUGAAAAGAUUGGUAGAGGAGCAUUGCAUGCGGGAAGAAGCAGUACCGGAAGGAGCUGUGGACUGCAUGGAAGAGAGAAUGCCGGAAUGAGUAGCGAGAUAGAGGUGGGAAUCCUCUAGGCCGAAUAUCCAAGGUUUCCAGGGUAAAGCUGAUCUGCCCUGGGUGAGUCGGGACCUAAGGUGAGGGCGAGAGCCGUAGCCGAUGGACAACAGGUUGAUAUUCCUGUACUGCAGUAUGACAGAACUGUGGGGACACGUAAGGAGAGCGGGAGCCGGGAAUGGAAAGCCCGGUACAAGCGAGGUACCAGUAUGGUAGGAAAAUCCGCCAUGCAAUGGGAAGACGUGAUGUGGAGCGAAGAUUAGUAGCGAAGCCCGUGAGCCAUGCGUCAAGAAAAGCCGCUAUCGUUCAUAUUGUACCCGUACCGUAAACCGACACAGGUGGAUGAGGAGAGAAUCCUAAGGCCGGCGGGAGAAGCAUUGUUAAGGAACUCGGCAAAAUGACCCUGUAACUUCGGGAGAAAGGGUGCCUGGGAAACCAGGCCGCAGAGAAUAGGCUCAAGCAACUGUUUAGCAAAAACACAGGUCUAUGCGAAACCGAAAGGUGAGGUAUAUGGGCUGACGCCUGCCCGGUGCUGGAAGGUUAAGAGGAGAGGUUAGCGCAAGCGAAGCUUUGAAUUUAAGCCCCAGUAAACGGCGGCCGUAACUAUAACGGUCCUAAGGUAGCGAAAUUCCUUGUCGGGUAAGUUCCGACCCGCACGAAAGGCGUAAUGAUUUGAGCGCUGUCUCGACAAUGCAUCCGGUGAAAUUGAAGUACCAGUGAAGAUGCUGGUUACCUGCGCCAGGACGGAAAGACCCCAUGGAGCUUUACUCCAGCUUGAUACUGGGACCCGGUAUUGCAUGUACAGGAUAGGUGGGAGGCUAGGAAAUGUGGACGCCAGUCUGCAUGGAGCCGCCGUUGGGAUACCACCCUUGUGGUGCUGGGUUUCUAACCAGAGGCCGUGAACCGGUCUGGGGACAAUGUCAGGUGGGGAGUUUGACUGGGGCGGUCGCCUCCGAAAGGGUAUCGGAGGCGCCCAAAGGUUCCCUCAGAAUGGACGGAAACCAUUCGAAGAGUGCAAAGGCAGAAGGGAGCUUGACUGCGACACCGACGGGUGGAGCAGGUACGAAAGUAGGACUUAGUGAUCCGGUGGUAUAAAGUGGGAUUGCCAUCGCUCAACGGAUAAAAGCUACCCUGGGGAUAACAGGCUUAUCACUCCCAAGAGUUCACAUCGACGGAGUGGUUUGGCACCUCGAUGUCGGCUCAUCGCAUCCUGGGGCUGUAGUAGGUCCCAAGGGUUGGGCUGUUCGCCCAUUAAAGCGGUACGCGAGCUGGGUUCAGAACGUCGUGAGACAGUUCGGUCCCUAUCCGGCGUGGGCGUAGGAUAUCUGAGAGGAGCUGUCCUUAGUACGAGAGGACCGGGAUGGACGGGCCGCUGGUGCAUCGGUUAGACUGCCAAGUCUACGGCCGAGUAGCCAAGCCCGGAAGGGAUAAACGCUGAAGGCAUCUAAGCGUGAAGCCCCCCUUAAGAUGAGAUAUCCCAUUCGUUAAGAAGUAAACCCCCUUGAAGACGACGAGGUAGAUAGGGCAGAGGUGGAAGUGUGGCAACACAUGGAGCUGACUGUUACUAAUCGGGUGAGGGCUUGACCAA